rnacentral:rRNA from 1 species
CCUACGGGAGGCAGCAGUGAGGAAUAUUGGUCAAUGGGCGAGAGCCUGAACCAGCCAAGUAGCGUGAGGGAGUACUGCCCUAUGGGUUGUAAACCUCUUUUGUCGGGGAGCAAAAGCCGGACGUGUCCGGCUGUGAGAGUACCCGAAGAAAAAGCAUCGGCUAACUCCGUGCCAGCAGCCGCGGUAAUACGGAGGAUGCGAGCGUUAUCCGGAUUUAUUGGGUUUAAAGGGUGCGCAGGCGGAUUUUUAAGUCAGCGGUAAAAUCGUGGGGCUCAACCCCAUCCAGCCGUUGAAACUGGGGAUCUAGAGUGUGCGAGAGGUAUGCGGAAUGCGUGGUGUAGCGGUGAAAUGCAUAGAUAUCACGCAGAACCCCGAUUGCGAAGGCAGCAUACCGGUGCACAACUGACGCUCAGGCACGAAAGCGUGGGUAUCGAACAGGAUUAGAUACCCUAGUAGUC